rnacentral:rRNA from 1 species
GACGAACGCUGGCGGCGUGCUUAACACAUGCAAGUCGAACGGAAAGGCCCUGCUUUUGUGGGGUGCUCGAGUGGCGAACGGGUGAGUAACACGUGAGUAACCUGCCCUUGACUUUGGGAUAACUUCAGGAAACUGGGGCUAAUACCGGAUAGGAGCUCCUGCUGCAUGGUGGGGGUUGGAAAGUUUCGGCGGUUGGGGAUGGACUCGCGGCUUAUCAGCUUGUUGGUGGGGUAGUGGCUUACCAAGGCUUUGACGGGUAGCCGGCCUGAGAGGGUGACCGGCCACAGUGGGACUGGGAUACGGCCCAGACUCCUACGGGAGGCAGCAGUGGGGAAUAGUGCACAAUGGGCGGAAGCGUGAUGCAGCAACGCCGCGUGCGGGAUGACGUCCUUCGGGUUGUAAACCGAUUUCGCCUGUGACGAAGCGUGAGUGACGGUAAUGGGUAAAGAAGCACCGGCUAACUACGU